UAUUUUGUUAAAGUUUAAUUAAUACGUGCAGAAUUGAAAGUGCUGUUGAAGCCGAACAGUUGGAGGAAGAUCAUGCUGGUCACAGCCAUGAUCAUGAUCAUGGUCACCACCAUCAUCAUGAUCAUGAACAUGAUCACCACAAACAUGAACACCAUGAUGGUCACCAUUCCCACGAUCAUACUCAUGACCCUGGCGUUUCUUCAGUCAGCAUAGUUUGUGAAGGGAGCUUGGAUCUCGAAAAGGCCAACAUGUGGCUAGGCACACUGUUAAUAGAAAGGAGCGAAGACAUAUAUCGGAUGAAAGGUCUUCUAUCAGUUGAUGGAAUGAACGAGAGAUUUGUCUUUCAGGUGAUUGAAUUUUUCAAAGCUUU